AUGCCCGUGCGUUGCCACGGAUACGAAAUAAAAUGUAGGUGUUAUGAUUAUAUAUUUGUUUUAAUUCAAAAAUGUGUGCAGAAGAUGGCGGUACAUGAUUUUCAUUCAUGUCCACUUGCUGCAUUGCUCCAAGUCAGCCUUUGUGUUUCAUUAGGCACCCUUUUCUUGCAUGCAGCGAAAGUGAUAUAUCUCUCCCUUCCCUCUUGCCCCACCACCAUUCUCUUCAUCCACCCUUACUCUAGCAUUGUUGGUGCUAGUCAUGGACUCAUAGCUGUUGUUCCUAAUGGCUACACAUAUUCUUGCACCAAUAUAUGCUUCUUGCCACAUCUUGGACGCAUAUAUCGCUUGCAUCAAAUUCUGACCGAAACACCAUGCUAUUAUAGUGCACAACUAUCAAACCCAGGCAGAGAAGGCUUAAUGUCAAAGGGUGUAAAAUUGGGCUGGGUUUUUGGGAUGUCUUCUUGA
rnacentral:rRNA from 1 species